AACGGCGAGUGAAGCGGGAAGAGCUCAAAUUUGAAAUCUGGCGGUCUACGGCCGUCCGAGUUGUAAUCUAGAGAGGUGUUUUCCGUGCCGGACCGUGUACAAGUCCCUUGGAACAGGGCGUCAUAGAGGGUGAGAAUCCCGUCCAUGACACGGACUACCGGUGCUCUGUGAUACACCUUCGAAGAGUCGAGUUGUUUGGGAAUGCAGCUCAAAAUGGGUGGUAAAUUCCAUCUAAAGCUAAAUACAGGCGAGAGACCGAUAGCGAACAAGUACCGUGAGGGAAAGAUGAAAAGAACUUUGGAAAGAGAGUUAAACAGUACGUUAAAUUGUUGAAAGGGAAACGCUUGAAGUCAGUCGCGUCUGUCAGGACUCAGCCUUGCUUCUGCAUGGUGCAUUUCCUGGUGGAUGGGCCAGCAUCGAUUUUGGUCGCCGGAAAAGGGCGGGAGGAAUGUGGCAGCUUGCUGUGUUAUAGCCUCCUGUCGUACACGGUGGUUGGGAUCGAGGACUGCAGCACGCCUUUGGUCGGGGUUCGCCCACGCCACGUG
rnacentral:rRNA from 2 species